rnacentral:rRNA from 1 species
GGAACGAACGCUGGCGGCAGGCUUAACACAUGCAAGUCGAACGGAUGUAGCAAUACAUCAGUGGCAGACGGGUGAGUAACACGUGGGAACCUUCCUCGUUGUACGGAACAACUCAGGGAAACUUGAGCUAAUACCGUAUACGUCCGAGAGGAGAAAGAUUUAUCGCAAUGAGACGGGCCCGCGUCGGAUUAGCUAGUUGGUGGGGUAACGCCUACCAAGGCGACGAUCCGUAGCUGAUCUGAGAGGAUGAUCAGCCACACUGGGACUGAGACACGGCCCAGACUCCUACGGGAGGCAGCAGUGGGGAAUCUUGGACAAUGGGCGCAAGCCUGAUCCAGCCAUGCCGCGUGAGUGAAGAAGGCUUAGGUGUAAAGCUCUUUGCCAGGGACGAUAAUGACGGUACCUGGAGAAUAAGCCCGCAAACUCGUGCCAGCAGCCGC